rnacentral:miRNA from 1 species
UUCACCACCUUCUCCACUCAGC